rnacentral:rRNA from 1 species
AUUGAACGCUGGCGGCAUGCCUUACACAUGCAAGUCGAACGGCAGCACGGGAGCAAUCCUGGUGGCGAGUGGCGAACGGGUGAGUAAUAUAUCGGAACGUGCCCAGUCGUGGGGGAUAACGCAGCGAAAGCUGUGCUAAUACCGCAUACGAUCUAAGGAUGAAAGCGGGGGAUCGCAAGACCUCGCGCGAUUGUAGCGGCCGAUAUACGAUUAGCUAGUUGGUGGGGUAAAGGCCCACCAAGGCGACGAUCUGUAGCUGGUCUGAGAGGACGACCAGCCACACUGGAACUGAGACACGGUCCAGACUCCUACGGGAGGCAGCAGUGGGGAAUUUUGGACAAUGGGCGCAAGCCUGAUCCAGCAAUGCCGCGUGCAGGAUGAAGGCCUUCGGGUUGUAAACUGCUUUUGUACGGAACGAAACGGCCCUUUCUAAUACAGGGGGCUAAUGACGGUACCGUAAGAAUAAGCACCUACAAACUACGUGCCAGCAGCCGCGGUAA